GAAUAGAAUACAGGGGGCGACCAAGAACCUCCAUCAAACCCUAGAUCAUACAAAACUCACAAAUUGAAGGCACAAAUCAGUUCCAAAACGAAAUUCGAGCUUAGAUUGGUGAUCUCCACGAUAAGGGGAUCAUAAGGCAAGGAAACCGGGACGUCAAGCGGACAAGCCGGUGGUGAUAUGCGCUUGAAGGGAGUGCUUUGAAGGUGAUAUUGGUCUUAUCCCGGAUGGCGAUCAAGCAAGAAUCCAAGAACCGAAUACUAAUUUUGAAGCUUCCGCGUUAAUCUAAUCAUGUUUUAGACGAUGUUUGUUUUGUAAACACUACUUAAUGUUGAAUGUUUUAAACAACUUAGUUGAUUAUAUUAG